rnacentral:rRNA from 1 species
UACGGAGGGUGCAAGCGUUAUCCGGAUUCACUGGGUUUAAAGGGUGCGUAGGAGGGCAGGUAAGUCAGUGGUGAAAUCUCCAAGCUUAACUUGGAACUGCCGUUGAUACUAUCUGUCUUGAAUACCGUGGAGGUGAGCGGAAUAUGUCAUGUAGCGGUGAAAAUGCUUAGAUAUGACAUAGAACACCAAUUGCGAAGGCAGCUCGCUACACGAAUAUUGACUCUGAGGCACGAAAGCGUGGGGAUCAAACAGGA